GACGAACGCUGGCGGCGUGCCUAAUACAUGCAAGUCGAGCGAAGCGGCGGAUGGGUGAGUAACGCGUGGGUAACCUGCCCUUAAGUCUGGGAUACCAUUUGGACACAGAUGCUCAUACCGGAUACUAAAGGAUGGACCUGCGAUGCAUUGGCUAGUUGGUAAGGUACCGGCUUACCAAGGCGAUGAUGCAGAGGCGGGUGUAGAGACUGAACGGCCACAAUGGGACUGAGACACGGCACAAAAGCCGACGGGAGGCAGCAGAGGGGAAUCUUGCACAAGGGGGGAAACUCUGAUGCAGCAACGCCGGGUGCGGGAUGACGGCCUGCGGGUUGUAAACCGCUGUCAGUCAUGACGCGGUAGUGGAAGAAGAAGCACCGGCUAACUACGUGCCAGCAGCCGCGGUAAUAC
rnacentral:rRNA from 1 species